AAUGGGGCGAGUGAGGGUUGUACACACAAUUGCUUCGCUGGCUUCUUAACGAGGUGUGAGAUACUUGUUAUUACAAUUUUGUAUUCAAUGGCAGCGGGGUGGACAGUUGCGUUAGGGGUUUACUGGUCACUGCUCACUCGUUAAGUCGUACUAAUGAAGUGGAAGUACCAGAUUGCAAUCUAAAUACACAUUCCCGAGCGCUUGGGAAGAAUUCUUGUGAUUGAGCGCUAUACAUAUGUACAUUUGUAAGUUAAUAUUCUUUAGGGUAUAUGCGUGUACAUGUUUGCAAGUCUCUGUAGUUACAUAUGCCGUGUAUUGCGUCCAGUAUCGUGCACUGAGGCGCUUAAACAUAUACAGCUUUAGAUAAAUGGUCAUGCAACUUAGAUGCGGAAUGUUGUUUUACUUUUUUUCAUAUUUUUUCAUUACUGCUAUUGUUGUUGUGUGACAGUUGCUCUUAUUGUAAUUGCCAUUUACUUGCGUUAAGCAAAGCAACGAACUAAUCUCUCGUCUUUAUUGUCUGCACUAACGUAUGUGAGGUAAGUAUUUGUAGGUAGUACGACACUUAUUUUCCUACAUUUCUCGUUAUUUUUAUUCUGAUUAGUGUUGUCUGUCUUAUUAAUCACCACAAAGCUAUGAUUAAUCUACUGUGAGUAAUAAAAAUGAAAAAAUAGCGCAAUCAUAGUAAAAAUAAAUGUUCUAAAUAAAGUAGCAAAGAUAGAACUUACACGUAAAUUAUAUAGGCGUGCAAAUGGUGGUUCUGAAUUAGAUUUCUUGUGGCAUGCUAGACCUCUUUUAUACACAAAAUGAGGCUUAAGAAAGCCAAAUACUUUCUAUAUGCAACUUACGAUGGCAGUGGUGUACACAAAAUUUAUGUGCAAAAGAAAUUGUAUUAUGCAGCUAUCUAAAACUUUAAAUCAAUUUUCAUGAACACUAUUUUAAGCAUACACAAAUAUGUAUAUCGUAUUGCUUAAAUCAUUAUCAACUAGGCUUAAAAGCACAUGUUAUAUGAUUCCGUGGCGAUAUACGCGGAUCAAAUACUGCAUCAAUCUUCACUUGGCAAACUGCAAAUGCAUGAAUUUAAAUUUAGCUAACAAAAGAAAACUCUC